GCAGCUAAAAAAGCUGCUUUUAUUCACAGAUAAUGUGCAGAUGUAACAUCUAAUCACACCCAAUUUUGCUCAUGUACUGCACAUUCUCAUUUUUUGCGAUACACAGACCUAUAGGAUGUCCCUUAACUCAUUUUCAGUCUAGUAUCAAUCAUCUGUUUUGUCUGGUAAACAGCAUGCUGGCCAUAGCAAGGAAUUUCCACCUCAUUUCCUGUAUGAACCAUAACGGUGGAAGAGGUCUAAUCAAGUCUAAUCUGUUUUUCAGAAACAGUCUGAGGAAUGUAGGAUCUGAAAGCACCAAAUGGCAAAAAUGUCUGAUUCUGUGUUUCUGGGGAUGAAUUUGACGCUGCAAAGACAUUAAUUAUUUACACCCUCAGGCUGUUAAUCUUAUUUAAACGACUGCAAAGUAGGAAUGGUCGUGUUUCUAUUCUCAUUUCUAAAGAGGAUGCUGUUUUGGGCUUUACCGUUCUCUUCCUCAAACGUGAUGAGAGCUUCGCCACCUUUCAACAGAAAGGAAGGUCUCUGGAUGAUGGUGAACAUUGCCUUGAUAUCCUGACCAGCAUGCUCUUGCUCAUCAGUCUCAUCAGCCUCCUUUUGUUCGAUGUGAGUGAAUCUCAAUCGUUUCUCAGG